UCGAAGACGCUUCCCGUGACGCGGGCGCGUGGAAUUCGCAAUUUCAGCGGCGUUAUGACAAAAAGUUGAUUGGUGAAAGGGAAGAACAACAGAGGUAUUCGUCAUUCGCUGAUCGUUUAUCGCGAGACAGCUGGAAAUCGCGGCGGACGGCAAAUCAAUUCUUCAAGCGCAAAUCGCAAGCGCACAAACUCUUCCUCAUUCAAGAUUCAAGAUGGGCGAAAUAUCAGCGAUGUUUAAAGGGGAUAGUCCAUGUAAUUGGUCCAAAAAAUCGAUCUCUUUCUCUAUAAAUCAAUAGUAAAACAUCUCGAAAAUAUAUUCUCAAAGUUAUAAAGUGAAAUUCGAAGUCUUACGGAUGCUAGUGAACGUUAUGGGUGUCAAUGCCGCCAACCGGUAUAAUCGGAGCGCAUGACGAGCCUAUCCUUCUUUAACCUCCCUGUACCAUAUGAUGCAGAGCAGAUGUUUGUGAAAUAUUAUACUUAUACAAUAUUUGAUUUAUUUUACUUCGCACGGUCAGUCGCGCUUCGAAUUUCAGGCCAUGCGGAACAGUUCUAAUCGGUAAAAUGUCGUCGUAUCUGAAAGGAACUAAGCAGCAACGCAGCCAGAUAUCUAUACUGGCAAAAAGAUACUUUCAUGAUGAUCAAUUUAGUGAUAAAAAAAGGUGAAAAUAUAAAACGAAGUGCGAGUGCAAGAAAACUAGAUCUGUGCAAGUGUGUGCAAGCAGUGAGAAUAUUAAAUAACUGGAGUCCAAUGCACUGUUACAAGAUUAUCGAAUUUUGUACUGUUUUUACUAUCAUCUAUUUAUCUAUCUAUACUUCUACUACUAUUAUCUAUCUACUAUCUAUAUUAUCAAACUAUUUUAUUUGCCGUGAGUAUAAACAAAACGUGAUAUUUGAGCAAACAAGAAAUCGUGGUCUCGGUUUCAAACCUAUAUUUGCAUGCCAUUGCGGUCGCCGAGAUAUCAAUUCAGGACAUAAAUUUUUAUCGGCAAUGGAUUUGAAAUUAAUCGCUGGAAUGUGUUUAUCAUGCGAUUUUUAAGCAUCAGCAGAGAGGGGAUAAAUAUUUUCUGCAGAUUUAUAUAAAACCUACGCCAAAAAUUACGACAAAUACCGACUGUAAAGGCAGAAACGCCGUAGCUUGAGUAGCACCAGAGAAGCUCGGCUGGCUGGAAAACAACAACUUUUAGAGCAAAAUGAAUUGUACGAAGAAGAGGAAAAAUUAUUAUACGACCCUGCAAUUGCAGAUUAAUAGCCAUACAGCAGACGCCAGAGUGCGGACCAUUUGAAAUCACUGGUAUCAACAAUUGCCUUUAAAAUUCAUUAUAUUGACAUUAUUCUUUUAUGCAAAUAAUAUUUUUCACUUGUUUAAAGUACCAAUUAAGUCUUCUCAAAGUUUCAAAAGUAUCUGCUUAAUACUUUUCUAGCAAUAAAUUCAUAAAAUACUGCUUUUUUCUCAUCGAAUUGUAUGGAUUAUCUCCUUUAAGCGACAUUAAUGUCGGCCGCCGCGCGGCGUAUUCCGCGAGAUGGACUGCGAAGUCGCGUGCUAAAUUGUCCCGCCCGGUAACGUCGCGAAUGCAAAAACGUAAUACCUGUUUGCCGCAUGCAACGUGCUUUUCAGAUAUUUCAACAAUGGCGUAUACCGGUUCGCUUUUUCAAACGAUAUUACUUUUUGCGUGAGAGAUAUACGCGAGUUGAUGCGCGAGUUACAGCUGUCGCGGAGGAGCCCUUAGAGUGGCAAUAGGAUAAAUCCGAAAUAGAUGGGCAUAAGGGAUAAAUAGUCAAUUGCUAUAAUUUUUGUAAUAUAUGCUAGGCGUCAGCGCUGAUCGGUCAGUUGUAAGUUGGAUGUACCACCACGAGUAAGUAUGUUUCAUCCUGAUGCCCAGAAACACUACUAU